rnacentral:rRNA from 1 species
AGGGUUUGAUUCUGGCUCAGGAUUAACGCUGGCGGCGCACAUAAGACAUGCAAGUCGAACGGAAGUCGUUAUAACUCAGAACGAAGAUUUAUCUGAGGGACGAGAUAUAACAAUGGCUUUAGUGGCGGACUGGUGAGUAACACGUAAGAAACCUGCCUAUUAGAGGGGAAUAACAACGAGAAAUCGUUGCUAAUACCGCAUAAGCUAGUAGUACCGCAUGGUACAGCUAGAAAAGGAGAAAUCCGCUAAUAGAUGGUCUUGCGUCCGAUUAGCUAGUUGGUGGGGUAACGGCCUACCAAGGCAACGAUCGGUAGCCGAGCUGAGAGGCUCAACGGCCACAUUGGGACUGAGAUACGGCCCAG